rnacentral:rRNA from 1 species
ACUCCUACGGGAGGCAGCAGUGAGGAAUAUUGGUCAAUGGGCGAUAGCCUGAACCAGCCAAGUAGCGUGAAGGAUGACUGCCCUAUGGGUUGUAAACUUCUUUUAUAAAGGAAUAAAGUCGGGUAUGCAUACCCGUUUGCAUGUACUUUAUGAAUAAGGAUCGGCUAACUCCGUGCCAGCAGCCGCGGUAAUAC